rnacentral:misc_RNA from 1 species
AAGUCGUAACAAGGUUUCCGUAGGUGAACCUGCGGAAGGAUCAUUAACAAUUAUCCAUUUUCCUUUGCAUAUGGAUGGUUUAAAUCCAUAUCCACCUUUGUGUGCACAUCAUCGACAUGUUUGCUUUGGCAGUUUGCAGGGAGAUCCUUUACCGUUUCUCCGUGGAGGGAAAGAGAAAGUGGGGAGCGGAGGGAGAGAGAGAAGAAACACUUUUCCUCUCUGCUUUUUUUCCUUCCUUCUCGCCUCUCUUCCCUCCGGCACUGCCAGAGUUUUUUCUUCUUUCAUCUUGACAAACUAUUC